UACAUGGGGUGCAAACGUUGCUCGGAAUUAUUGGGCGUAAAGAGCUCGUAGGCGGUUUGUCGCGUCUGCCGUGAAAGUCCGGGGCUCAACUCCGGAUCUGCGGUGGGUACGGGGCAGACUAGAGUGAUGUAGGGGAGACUGGAAUUCCUGGUGUAGCGGUGAAAUGCGCAGAUAUCAGGAGGAACACCGAUGGCGAAGGCAGGUCUCUGGGCAUUAACUGACGCUGAGGAGCGAAAGCAUGGGGAGCGAACAGG
rnacentral:rRNA from 1 species